UACGGGGGGAGCAAGCGUUGUUCGGAUUUACUGGGCGUAAAGGCGCGUAGGCGGCGCAACAAGUCACUUGUGAAAUCUCCGGGCUUAACCCGGAGCGGUCAAGUGAUACUGUCGUGCUAGAGUGCGGAAGGGGCUACUGGAAUUCUCGGUGUAGCGGUGAAAUGCGUAGAUAUCGAGAGGAACACCUGCGGCGAAGGCGGGUAGCUGGGCCGACACUGACGCUGAUGCGCGAAAGCCAGGGGAGCGAAGCGGG
rnacentral:rRNA from 1 species